CACACACAAGAUUUGUUUUCUGGUGCUCAUUUUAAUUUAAUUUUAUUUUGUAGCUGCCAAUAGAAUGUUGGCGUUGAUUUGGGGCUGUUCCUCGAGGAGAAGGGAAGCGCUUCCCACUCAGGGUCCCGAGGAAAUCUUGCGGGCCGCAGAGUUUAUUCAGCUCUACUUCAUCUUUGUUAUUUUCCUCUCUUUGCAGUCCUCGACUCUGGUGAGUCAAUGAAAUGUAGAGCUCAUUGUGGCCGAAGUGGACAAUUUCCUGGAAAACAGCUGGUCAAAUGCCUGCCUUUCAAGUAAACAUCCUCCCCGGAGAAGGUCUUUCUUAGCACCAUCCAGCUCAGCACGGUCAUUUCUGCAGUCCACGUUCCUGUCUAUUGCUCAGAAGAUUCUAGAAGAAUCAGGGGUGAAAUGAGAGCCAAGCCUUACUGUUCCCACCACUGUAUUCAUGCCGGUUCUGGAAGGUUGAAUUUUAUUUUAGCACCUUCUCAUACUCUAGGAGGACAGAGGCAGAAGAAUUCAAUGCACCAUACAUCAGUUAGUAACUUAAACAAUAGUAGAAGUGCGUUUUAUACCCAGGCUGUCUGACUUAAGAACACAUAGGCCCUUAAGCAUGUGUUCUGGACCCCAAGGUCAAAGGUCUCCCU
rnacentral:lncRNA from 1 species